AGACAUCUCCAAGCUCAGCCCACUGCAACAGACAUCUAACCUGGAGGUGUUCCACAGUGUCAUCCUGAAGUUUGCACCCAAGAAUGUGGCCUUUUCAUACCAUUGUGCAGGCUUUACCUGACUGCAUUUCAUUUUAAUGAAAGUGCUGGCCGCUGCCAGGCGAAGACUGCUCAAGGAGACCUUAGAUACAGAGUCUUCUUUCCCAAGGCCAAGAAGGGUGCACCCUCCGUUGAGCAAGUGAAAACGCCACAAACUUGUCGCUGUGUUGAUGAACUCCUGAACCUCCUGUUCAACGAAGUGCUCCAUGACCCUGCUCCCUUCGUGGAACAACUGAAGGCAGUGUCAGUCCCAGAGCCCCUGUGCAGCCAGUACGAGAGGCCAGAGAAGGGAGAAGUUAUCGCCAACUAUGUCUCCCGCUUCAGUUGUCCAGGGAUGGCCUGAAGCCCACAUAUUCAUCCUCCUCAUCUGGGUACUCGCGGUAGAUUCUGAGCACCACACAGGAAGUCUGACAUCACCUAGGCUGCUGGAGGAUGGACCACUACUUAUCUGCCCUGGCUGCUUCGCUGCUUAGUUGAUAUAACAUUUAUUUAUCAUUUUUGCCAGAUGGCAGCCGGAUGAACAAGCUCUUGCUACCUCCAGCAAUACAAACAUUCAAAUACUGCCAUCUACUGGCCAAAUUGAUUAAGCUGUAAACUGUAGAGCAGCUGCAGACUGCACAGAACACAGCGGUCAGGCUUUUAACCAGAAAAAAACACAUCAUCCCGGUUUUAGCCUCUUUACACUGGCUUCUGUCUGUUGCAGACUCUCAGCUGAAGACUAAGGGAGACAAAGCUGAUUCUAGUUUUUAUUGUUUUAUCUUAAUUUUUUAUGUUUCUCGAAAAGUUGAAAUCAGAAAAACAGUUUUCCGGGCCUGGAAAUUGUUUGGAAUUAACAGAAUGUUUAGGAAAUUUUGAAUGGAAGUUUUGAAUACAUUGUUUUGGGGCUACUGUUUCUUGUCCUCCUCCUCUCCUCCCCUACUAAUACAACUUAAAUGAAGUAAUUGAAGUGGGAUAAAAUAUUAUGGAAACAAUAUGGAAAAGUUUUGAAAAUUCGCUGAUAAAAAUGUGUGGGAACCCUGUUUAAUGCUGUGUGUGUAGUUGUGCACACAUGAUAAAAGCAGUAUUUGCAUUUUUUUUUUUAAUAAGGAGUUAUGAACAAGGUGAAUGCAGUAUCAAUUCCUGUAUUAUAUUAUGUCAGACAUUGAAUUAUCCAAUACUUACGCUGCUCUCUCUCUCUAUUGGGUGGGGGUCCAUAAUUUGCCCUAUACAUAUUUAGGGCAUUUUGUAGGGUGUAGGGGUUGAGGCACACAGGUUCAAGCCCUGGAUGAAGGGUCAUGCAUCUUGGAGGCUCUGGAAGCUCCUCACACCUAUUCCUGACCUUUAUUGUUUUGGUAUGAACAAAAAAACCAAAUGCUUAAGUGUAAAACAUUUCAGCUUUUGGUUUUGUGUACAUUAAUGUUCACCAGUCAGACACUUGCCUUCCACAAACUAGAAUCCAGGUGGAUUUAUUGCACCUUGCAGGAUUGCUCAGUUUUCCAGUGAAAUUCUAAAAUAUCACAACUUUUUGUGAACAAUAGAAAUGAUCAAUAUUCAUGACUAAUUGACAUCUAUAUAGUCAAGUUUAGUUUUACAAAUUCAGAUUCAAACUACUGUAUAGCCAAAUCAUUCCUUUUCUCUUAAGGCCCAAAACUGUUAGUGGUUUCAGUAAUUAACUACACCAAAAAUAGCAACAAAAAAGUUAUUUAACUACUUUAAUCACUGCAUAUAUGAAUGUAGUUGAACUACCAACAAUCAAUUGCAAAAUGUAGUUAAACUACUAGUUUAAUUACUGUACUAUUACUGUUUUUUCCUCAACACUGUAUAAAUGUUUUCUGUC